GAUGAACGCUAGCGGGAGGCCUAACACAUGCAAGCCGAGCGGUAGAGAUUCUUCGGAAUCUUGAGAGCGGCGUACGGGUGCGAAACACGUGUGCAACCUGCCUUUAUCAGGGGGAUAGCCUUUCGAAAGGAAGAUUAAUACCCCAUAAUAUAUUUGAUGGCAUCAUUAGAUAUUGAAAGCUUUGGCGGAUAGAGAUGGGCACGCGCAAGAUUAGCUAGUUGGUGAGGUAACGGCUCACCAAGUCGAUGAUCUUUAGGGGGCCUGAGAGGGUGAUCCCCCACACUGGUACUGAGACACGGACCAGACUCCUACGGGAGGCAGCAGUGAGGAAUAUUGGACAAUGGGUUAGCGCCUGAUCCAGCCAUCCCGCGUGAAGGACGACGGCCCUAUGGGUUGUAAACUUCUUUUGUACAGGGAUAAACCUACUCUCGUGAGAGUAGCUGAAGGUACUGUACGAAUAAGCACCGGCUAACUCCGUG
rnacentral:rRNA from 1 species